rnacentral:rRNA from 1 species
CCUACGGGAGGCUGCAGUGAGGAAUAUUGGUCAAUGGGCGCGAGCCUGAACCAGCCAAGUCGCGUGAGGGAAGACGGUCCUAUGGAUUGUAAACCUCUUUUGUCGGGGAGCAAAAGACGCCACGCGUGGCGUUCCGCGAGUACCCGAAGAAAAAGCAUCGGCUAACUCCGUGCCAGCAGCCGCGGUAAUACGGAGGAUGCGAGCGUUAUCCGGAUUUAUUGGGUUUAAAGGGUGCGCAGGCGGAAGGUCAAGUCAGCGGUAAAAUUGAGAGGCUCAACCUCUUCGAGCCGUUGAAACUGGUUGUCUUGAGUGAGCGAGAAGUAGGCGGAAUGCGUGGUGUAGCGGUGAAAUGCAUAGAUAUCACGCAGAACUCCGAUUGCGAAGGCAGCAUACCGGCGCUCAACUGACGCUCAUGCACGAAAGUGUGGGUAUCGAACAGGAUUAGAUACCCUAGUAGUC